UACGGAGGGUGCAAACGUUGCUCGGAAUCAUUGGGCGUAAAGCGCACGUAGGCGGCUCGUUAAGUCGGGUGUGAAAGCCCUCGGCUCAACCGAGGAAGUGCAUUCGAAACUGGCGAGCUUGAGUAUGGAAGAGGGUCGCGGAAUUCCCGGUGUAGAGGUGAAAUUCGUAGAUAUCGGGAGGAACACCAGUGGCGAAGGCGGCGACCUGGGCCAAUACUGACGCUGAGGUGCGAAAGCGUGGGGAGCAAACAGG
rnacentral:rRNA from 1 species